CCGGGUCCUGCGCGCAUACCGCUCUUGGCAUCGACACGGAUCAGCUUGAUACCCGCAGGGACGCGGAACGGAACGGCAGGCUUGUCGGCGAGCGCAAGCUUCAUGANNNNNNGGGGGGAGAUGACCCCCCGGGUACCGCCUCUGCCGAGAUUCCGCGGCUUGUCGUACCCGAUAUAGACACCGACCACGAGAUCGGGUGAGAAACCGAUGAACCAGGCGUCCUUCUCAUCGUUGG
rnacentral:misc_RNA from 1 species